GAAAUGCGAUAAGUAGUGUGAAUUGCAGAAUUCAGUGAAUCAUCGAAUCUUUGAACGCACAUUGCGCCCUUUGGUAUUCCUUAGGGCAUGCCUGUUCGAGCGUCAUCUAAACCUUCAAGCCCUGCUUGGUGUUGGGUGCCUGUCCCGCCUCCGCGCGCGGACUCACCUCAAUUCCAUUGGCGGCCCCCGCGUCGGCCACGAGCGCAGCAGAAACGCGAACUCGUGAGCCCGUCCGGGCGGCUCCCAGAAGCUACACCCACCCAGUUUGACCUCGGAUCAGGUAGGGAUACCCGCUGAACUUAAGC
rnacentral:misc_RNA from 1 species